GAUGAACGCUGGCGGCGUGCCUAAUACAUGCAAGUCGAGCGAACAGACGAGGAGUUUGCUCCUCUGACGUUAGCGGCGGACGGGUGAGUAACACGUGGAUAACCUACCUAUAAGACUGGGAUAACUGCGGGAAACCGGAGCUAAUACCGGUUAAUAUAUUGAACCGCAUGGUUCAAUAGUGAAAGACGGUUUUGCUGUCACUUAUAGAUAGAUCCGCGCCGCAUUAGCUAGUUGAUAAGGUAACGGCUUACCAAGGCAACGAUGCGUAGCCGACCUGAGAGGGUGAUCGGCCACACUGGAACUGAGACACGGUCCAGACUCCUACGGGAGGCAGCAGUAGGGAAUCUUCCGCAAUGGGCGAAAGCCUGACGGAGCAACGCCGCGUGAGUGAUGAAGGUCUUCGGAUCGUAAAACUCUGUUAUUAGGGAAGAACAAAUGUGUAAGUAACUAUGCACGUCUUGACGGUACCUAAUCAGAAAGCCACGGCUAACUACGUGCCAGCAGCCGCAGUAA
rnacentral:rRNA from 1 species